CACCGCCACCCCCCGAAGAACAACCCCCUGAAGAAGGAGCCGAAUGGGCUCCGAAACGUCGGGCUAAUAAAAUUCAGUUAUUUGGUUGGAGUCAGUCUCAAGUUCUAAUCAAUUUCCCAACCAGACAGGCAAUUCUGUCGAAAUGUUUAGCUUCACUAAGCAGCUGGGACACAUUUUUUGUUGACCAUACUAGCUCGCAGGUAAAAUAAGUACAUCAUGUGGACAGCUCCAGCUUAUUUUCCUUAAAUCAGUGUGUACAAGGGGCAUGCAAAAAUAAUUUUUUUCUCGCGCACCGAUUAUUUUGCUGUUUAAGCAAGAGAACCCACCACGUUAGUGUAAGGUAUCUUGUAGUACAUCACACUAAUAGGUGCUUUAAUUUACCAAGUGAGAUGAGUUACUCUUAUGGCUCAUUCAGUCAUAUCACACUGCAAGCUGCAUUCAUCAAUCUUCACUUGGAUUUUGCAAAUGUUUAAUGAAACAUGUUUCCCUUUUAUGCAGAUAUGCAAUGGCAAGCCCUUCCGUGUGUUCCAAAGGUAAAAUUUAAGCUCUAAAUUAAACAAGACAUUUCUAGUCAGAAACAAGCAAAAAUGGUGAAUGCAGAGUAUCAGAAGCCCAAGGUACAGAAAUUAUGAGAAUUGUGUCGAAUGAUCUUAAGGAAAGAGUCGUAUUUGAAAAUGCAAGACUCUUUAGUGGAGGUCAAGCAAGUCAAUAUAGGUAGAAUACUCUGCAAAAUUAUGCGAGUGAGGGGAUGUCAAACAAUGGGUCAGGAAAUGCGUUGUUUUUUCUGCAAAACAAAAGCUGAUUUCCAUUACAUAAGUCACUUUAGCAUCAUGAGACUGCUGCUUGAUAAAUUCAGAAAUAAACCAAAAAACAAGACACGCAAAAAUAAAAAAACAAUUUAAUCAUGCUCUCUCCACACUGGGAUAAAUAAAAACAAACACAUCACAUCUACUGUGGACAUAUCAGACGCCUUGUGAAACACUAAAGGAAAAAUUCAGUUUCGAGCUAUGGCACUUGUCGCAUAGAUGUGGGGGGCCUUGCACUAAUAGUGAUAGUUACCACUGCAUUUGGAAAUUGAAAGCAUUCGUGCAGACAAGGAUGAUUCUUUAUAUUUUUGACUACCACUUCAAAUGCCUCCACCAAGUGUUACAACGCUGCACGCAGCCAUACUAAGGAUCUCGCAGCAACACCUCCAGGUAAAAAGCAGAAGCAGUCAAAGUGCUGGUGUGUACUGGACACUAUGUUUGAAAACUUUUAGGCAAGAAGAGUGCAAGAAGCAGGUAUAACUGAAUUUAUUUCCAUAAUUACCCAUUUGAAUGGCCUUUCCUUUUGUUUAGACAAUGCCUACGCCUAGCCACAGCAGCUCCCUCAUACAGACUCCGCAAGCCAAGAGGCCGUGGACGCAAAUGCAGGCCGCCAGCACACCCCGAACAGCCACCUUGACUGCAGGUGUCACCCUAGUCGCCAAGGAAACAUUUGAGGAAAAGCGACAGGCAAUGUGAGGAGCCACUUCUCCAUGUAAACGAUACUCUUUCUCUCGGAUGACUCCUACGCCUCGCCACGCCAGCACACUUGUGCACAAAGAUGCCGCGGAGGCACGUGCAGGUCAGAGGCAAGAAGCAGUGACACUGGUGUCGACAUUCACACCUCGAACAGCCACCUUGACUGCGGGUGUGUCAGUAGAUUCCUGUUGUACAUAUGCUCAUAAUAAACUUCAGUAAACUUGAA